rnacentral:rRNA from 1 species
UGACGGUACCUGCAGAAAAAGCGCCGGCUAACUACGUGCCAGCAGCCGCGGUAAUGCGUAGGGCGCAAGCGUUAUCCGGAAUUAUUGGGCGUAAAGAGCUCGUAGGCGGUUUGUCGCGUCUGCUGUGAAAUCCCGAGGCUCAACCUCGGGCCUGCAGUGGGUACGGGCAGACUAGAGUGCGGUAGGGGAGAUUGGAAUUCCUGGUGUAGCGGUGGAAUGCGCAGAUAUCAGGAGGAACACCGAUGGCGAAGGCAGAUCUCUGGGCCGUAACUGACGCUGAGGAGCGAAAGGGUGGGGAGCAAACAGGCUUAGAUACCCUGGUAGUCCACCCCGUAAACGUUGGGAACUAGUUGUGGGGACCAUUCCACGGUUUCCGUGACGCAGCUAACGCAUUAAGUUCC